rfam:Gossypium raimondii Chr10_contig_1164, whole genome shotgun sequence.
UGUUAAAAAAUUUCAUUCGUUUAUACUCUUAAAAAUUGGCAUGGCUAAGAAUACCCAGAUAAUGACACAUGGUGUGCCACGUGUACCUCAUGCUAAUGUACAAACUAGUUUUUAACUAUAGAAAUAAAUAAAAUUUUUAAUA